AACGAACGCUGGCGGCAGGCCUAACACAUGCAAGUCGAGCGGGCCCUUCGGGGCCAGCGACGGACGGGUUAGUAACGCGUGGGAACGUGCCCUCUUCUACGGAAUAGCCCAGGGAAACUUGGAUUAAUGCCGUAUGCGCCCUUCGGGGGAAAGAUUUAUCGGAGGAGGAUCGGCCCGCGUCCGAUUAGGUAGUUGGUGGGGUAACGGCCCACCAAGCCGACGAUCGGUAGCUGGUUUGAGAGGAUGAUCAGCAACACUGGGACUGAGACACGGCCCAGACUCCUACGGGAGGCAGCAGUGGGGAAUCUUGGACAAUGGGGGCAACCCUGAUCCAGCCAUGCCGCGUGGACGAUGAA
rnacentral:rRNA from 1 species